rnacentral:rRNA from 1 species
UACGUAGGGGGCGAGCGUUGUCCGGAUUCAUUGGGCGUAAAGCGCUUUAAGGCGGUUCGCUAAGUCGGGUGUGAAACCUCCAGGCUCAACCUGGAGACGCCACUCGAUACUGGCGUGAAUAGAGUUCGGUAGGGGACCACGGAAUUCCUGGUGUAGCGGUGAAAUGCGCAGAUAUCAGGAGGAACACCGGUGGCGAAGGCGGGUCUCUGGGCCGAUACUGACGCUGAGGAGCGAAAGCGUGGGGAGCGAACAGG